rnacentral:rRNA from 1 species
GAUGAACGCUGGCGGCGUGCCUAAUACAUGCAAGUCGAGCGAACGGACGAGAAGCUUGCUUCUCUGAUGUUAGCGGCGGACGGGUGAGUAACACGUGGAUAACCUACCUAUAGGACUGGGAUAACUUCGGGAAACCGGAGCUAAUACCGGAUAAUAUUUUGAACCGCAUGGUUCAAAAGUGAAAGACGGUCUUGCUGUCACUUAUAGAUGGAUCCGCGCUGCAUUAGCUAGUUGGUAAGGUAACGGCUUACCAAGGCAACGAUGCAUAGCCGACCUGAGAGGGUGAUCGGCCACACUGGAACUGAGACACGGUCCAGACUCCUACGGGAGGCAGCAGUAGGGAAUCUUCCGCAAUGGGCGAAAGCCUGACGGAGCAACGCCGCGUGAGUGAUGAAGGUCUUCGGAUCGUAAAACUCUGUUAUUAGGGAAGAACAUAUAUGUAAGUAACUGUGCACAUCUUGACGGUACCUAAUCAGAAAGCCACGGCUAACUACGUGCCAGCAGCCGCGGUAAUACGUAGGUGGCAAGCGUUAUCCGGAAUUAUUGGGCGUAAAGCGCGCGUAGGCGGUUUUUUAAGUCUGAUGUGAAAGCCCACGGCUCAACCGUGGAGGGUCAUUGGAAACUGGAAAACUUGAGUGCAGAAGAGGAAAGUGGAAUUCCAUGUGUAGCGGUGAAAUGCGCAGAGAUAUGGAGGAACACCAGUGGCGAAGGCGACUUUCUGGUCUGUAACUGACGCUGAUGUGCGAAAGCGUGGGGAUCAAACGGGAUUAGAUACCCUGGUAGUCCACGCCGUAAACGAUGAGUGCUAAGUGUUAGGGGGUUUCCGCCCCUUAGUGCUGCAGCUAACGCAUUAAGCACUCCGCCUGGGGAGUACGACCGCAAGGUUGAAACUCAAAGGAAUUGACGGGGACCCGCACAAGCGGUGGAGCAUGUGGUUUAAUUCGAAGCAACGCGAAGAACCUUACCAAAUCUUGACAUCCUUUGACAACUCUAGAGAUAGAGCUUUCCCCUUCGGGGGACAAAGUGACAGGUGGUGCAUGGUUGUCGUCAGCUCGUGUCGUGAGAUGUUGGGUUAAGUCCCGCAACGAGCGCAACCCUUAAGCUUAGUUGCCAUCAUUAAGUUGGGCACUCUAAGUUGACUGCCGGUGACAAACCGGAGGAAGGUGGGGAUGACGUCAAAUCAUCAUGCCCCUUAUGAUUUGGGCUACACGCGUGCUACAAUGGACAAUACAAAGGGCAGCGAAACCGCGAGGUCAAGCAAAUCCCAUAAAGUUGUUCUCAGUUCGGAUUGUAGUCUGCAACUCGACUACAUGAAGCUGGAAUCGCUAGUAAUCGUAGAUCAGCAUGCUACGGUGAAUACGUUCCCGGGUCU